UACGUAGGGUGCAAGCGUUAAUCGGAAUUACUGGGCGUAAAGCGCACGUAGGCGGUUUUUUAAGUCAGAUGUGAAAGCCCCGGGCUCAACCUGGGAAUUGCAUUUGAAACUGGAAAACUAGAGUGUGUGAGAGGGGGGUAGAAUUCCAAGUGUAGCGAUGAAAUGCGUAGAGAUUUGGAGGAAUACCAGUGGCGAAGGCGGCCCCCUGGCACAACACUGACGCUCAGGUGCGAAAGCGUGGGGAGCAAACAGG
rnacentral:rRNA from 1 species